rnacentral:rRNA from 1 species
GACGAACGCUGGCGGCGUGCCUAACACAUGCAAGUCGAACGGAAAGGCCCUGCCUUUGUGCGGUGCUCGAGGGGCGAACGGGGGAUCAACACGCGAGUAACCUGUCCUUCACUUUGGGAUAACUUCAGGAAACAGGGGCUAAUACCGGAUAGGAUCUCCUGCUGCAGGGUGAGGGUUGGUAAGUUUCGGCGGUUGGGGAUGGACUGGCGGCUUAUCAGCUUGUUGGUUGGGUGGUGGCUGACCAAGGCAUUGCCGGGUAGCCGGCCUGGGAGGGUGACCGGCCACAUUAGGACUGAGAUACGGCCCAGACUCGUACGGGAGGCAACGGUGGAGAAGAUUACACUGUGGGCGGAAGCCAGGUGUGGCAACGCCGCGUGCGGGAUGACGGGAUUCGGUUUGUGUUGCACUUUCGCCUGUGACGAGGCGUGAGUGACGGUAAUGGGUGAAGAAGCACCGGCUAACUACGUG